GAACGUACGCUGGCGGCACGCCUAACACAUGCAAGUCGAACGAAGUAGCAAUACUUAGUGGCAGACGGGUGAGUAACAUGUAGGUAUCUGCCCUUUGGCCUGGAAUAACACGAGGAAACUUGUGCUAAUACCGGAUAAGUCUUUACAGAGAAAGCUUUAUGCACCAUUGGAUGAGCCUGCACUUGAUUAGUUUGUUGGUGGGGUAAUGGCCUACCAAGACUGUGAUCAAUAGCUGAUUUGAGAGGAUGAUCAGCCACAUUGGGACUGAGACACGGCCCAAACUCCUACGGGAGGCAGCAGUGGGGAAUCUUGCACAAUGGAGGAAACUCUGAUGCAGCGAUGCCGCGUGAGUGAAGAAGGCCUUUGGGUUGUAAAGCUCUUUCGUCGGGGAAGAAAAUGACUGUACCCGAAUAAGAAGGUCCGGCUAACUUCGUGCCAGCAGCCGCGGUAAUACGAAGGGACCUAGCGUAGUUCGGAAUUACUGGGCUUAAAGAGUUCGUAGGUGGUUGAAAAAGUUAGUGGUGAAAUCCCAGAGCUUAACUCUGGAACUGCCAUUAAAACUUUUUAGCUAGAGUAUGAUAGAGGAAAGCAGAAUUUCUAGUGUAGAGGUGAAAUUCGUAGAUAUUAGAAAGAAUACCAAUUGCGAAGGCAGCUUUCUGGAUCAUUACUGACACUGAGGAACGAAAGCAUGGGUAGCGAAGAGGAUUAGAUACCCUCGUAGUCCAUGCCGUAAACGAUGUGUGUUAGACGUUGGAAAUUUAUUUUCAGUGUCGCAGCGAAAGCGAUAAACACACCGCCUGGGGAGUACGACCGCAAGGUUAAGACUCAAAUGAAUUGACGGGGACCCGCACAAGUAGUGGAGCAUGUAGUUUAAUUCGAAGAUACGCGCAGAACUUUACCAACACUUGACAUGUUCGUCGCGACUCUAAGAGAUUAGAGUUUUCGGUUCGGCCGGACGAAACACAGGUGCUGCAUGGCUGUCGUCAGCUCGUGUCGUGAGAUGUUGGGUUAAGUCCCGCAACGAGCGCAACCCUCACUUUUAGUUGCCAUCAUUAAGUUGGGCACUCUGAAAGAACUGCCAGUGAUAAGCUGGAGGAAGGUGGGGAUGACGUCAAGUCCUCAUGGCCCUUACGUGUUGGGCUACACACGUGCUACAAUGGUAUCUACAACAGGAAGCAAGACUGCGAAGUUAAGCAAAUCCCUAAAAGAUACCUCAGUUCGGAUUGCACUCUGCAACUCGAGUGCAUGAAGCUGGAAUUACUAGUAAUCGUGGAUCAGCGUGCCACGGUGAAUGCGUUCCCGGGUCUUGUACACACCGCC
rnacentral:rRNA from 1 species